rnacentral:misc_RNA from 1 species
CAGGGAUAAUCUCCUGAACUAGCUUAAGCUAGCCCUUAGGGGGAAUGCUUAACAAGUGAAAAUAGUUCAACACGCCCUACUCCAUAGGUUCUCAUUAUUUAUACACAAAGAUGACUUUUCCACAGCUCUAGGCUCCAUGAGAUUGAUUCUCUUUUCCGAAAAUUCCUAAGAAAUUCACCUGCAAUUGAUUACCAUACGUCAGCACAACACUAGGCCCUUCCAUCUUUGCUAGCUCAUUCUUCUUCCUCAACUUCUUUCUGUAGUAUACCCUUAAAGGCUUCGGCCCAUUGCCCAUAUUCAUUGAACUUGUAGGAUUGCUUCUAUCAAUACUUCCCUCUCGGAAAACUGACUUGUCCACAAGGCUGGUAGCAAGGAAUUGGUUAAUCAAAUAUAAGACAUCCAUGUGGCCUCUUCAGAGGUUUACCCUUUCAUUUAACCAAUACUUGAAAAUUUCUGAUGCCAAUGGUUGCAACCUGCCUUUCUCCAAUAAAGCUUCAGGUUCUAACAAUGUUUCUUCUAUUUCCAAACCUUUUGGUAACUCAGU